rnacentral:rRNA from 1 species
CGGGAGGCAGCCGUGGGGAAUAUUGCACAAUGUCCGCAAGCCUGAUGCAGCCAUGCCGCGUGUAUGAAGAAGGCCUUCGGGUUGUAAAGUACUUUCAGCGGGGAGGAAGGUGUUGUGGUUAAUAACCGCAGCAAUUGACGUUACCCGCAGAAGAAGCACCGGCUAACUCCGUGCCAGCAGCCGCGGUAAUACGGAGGGUGCAAGCGUUAAUCGGAAUUACUGGGCGUAAAGCGCACGCAGGCG